rnacentral:rRNA from 1 species
AUAGCGUAUAUUAAAGUUGUUGCAGUUAAAAAGCUCGUAGUUGAACUUCAGCCUCUUGGCCGGGCGGUCUGCCUCACGGUAUGUACUGUCUGGCUGGGGCUUACCUCUUGGUGAGCCGGCGUGUCCUUUAUUGGAUGCGUCGGGGAACCAGGACUUUUACCUUGAGAAAAUUAGAGUGUUCAAAGCAGGCCUAUGCCCGAAUACAUUAGCAUGGAAUAAUAAAAUAGGACGUGCGGUUCUAUUUUGUUGGUUUCUAGAGUCGCCGUAAUGAUUAAUAGGGAUAGUUGGGGGCAUUGGUAUUGAGUCGCUAGAGGUGAAAUUCUUGGAUUGACUCAAGACCAACUAUUG